GCUGGGCACAGUGACACAUGCCUGUAAUCCCAGCAGCUUGGGAGGCUGAGGCAGGAGGAUCGCAUCAGCCUCAGCAACUUCGAGAGGCCCUAGGAAACUCAGCCAGACUCUGUCUCUA
rnacentral:sRNA from 1 species